GACGAACGCUGGCGGCGUGCUUAACACAUGCAAGUCGAACGGAAAGGCCCUGCUUUUGUGGGUUGCUCGAGUGGCGAACGGGUGAGUAACACGUGAGUAACCUGCCCUUGACUUUGGGAUAACUUCAGGAAACUGGGGCUAAUACCGGAUAGGAGCUCCUGCUGCAUGGUGGGGGUUGGAAGGUUUCGGAGGUUGGGGAUGGACUCGCGGCUUAUCAGCUUGUUGGUGGGGUAGUGGCUUACCAAGGCUUUGACGGGUAGCCGGCCUGAGAGGGUGACCGGCCACAUUGGGAAUGAGAUACGGCACAGAGUCCUACGGGAGGCAGCAGUGGGGAAUAUUGCACAAUGGGCGGAAGCCUGAUGCAGCAACGCCGCGUGCGGGAUGACGGCCUUCGGGUUGUAAACCGCUUUCGCCUGUGACGAAGCGUGAGUGACGGUAAUGGGUAAAGAAGCACCGGCUAACUACGUG
rnacentral:rRNA from 1 species